UACAGAGGGUGCAAGCGUUAAUCGGAAUUACUGGGCGUAAAGCGCUCGUAGGCGGGACUGGAAGUCCGUGUUGAAAGACCUCGGCUCAACUGAGGGACCGGCUCGGAUACUCUAGUUCUUGAGGCAAUCAGAGGGUGAUGGAAUUCCCGGUGUAGCGGUGAAAUGCGUAGAUAUCAGGAGGAACACCAGUGGCGAAGGCGAUCACCUGGGGUUGUUCUGACGCUGAGGAGCGAAAGCUAGGGGAGCAAACGGG
rnacentral:rRNA from 1 species